GGGGAGCCGAAGGGAAACCGAGUCUUAACUGGGCGUUAAGUUGCAGGGUAUAGACCCGAAACCCGGUGAUCUAGCCAUGGGCAGGUUGAAGGUUGGGUAACACUAACUGGAGGACCGAACCGACUAAUGUUGAAAAAUUAGCGGAUGACUUGUGGCUGGGGGUGAAAGGCCAAUCAAACCGGGAGAUAGCUGGUUCUCCCCGAAAGCUAUUUAGGUAGCGCCUCGUGAAUUCAUCUCCGGGGGUAGAGCACUGUUUCGGCAAGGGGGUCAUCCCGACUUACCAACCCGAUGCAAACUGCGAAUACCGGAGAAUGUUAUCACGGGAGACACACGGCGGGUGCUAACGUCCGUCGUGAAGAGGGAAACAACCCAGACCGCCAGCUAAGGUCCCAAAGUCAUGGUUAAGUGGGAAACGAUGUGGGAAGGCCCAGACAGCCAGGAUGUUGGCUUAGAAGCAGCCAUCAUUUAAAGAAAGCGUAAUAGCUCACUGGUCGAGUCGGCCUGCGCGGAAGAUGUAACGGGGCUAAACCAUGCACCGAAGCUGCGGCAGCGACGCUUAUGCGUUGUUGGGU
rnacentral:rRNA from 1 species